UUCAACAGGGAGGCGGAGCUCUGGCCCUUAGCUCCACCCAGCAGACGCUGCCGAGUGUUUUCUUUAUCGCUGCUAUGGGACAGCAUGAUGGCCCUCCUCUCUGCCUGCUAACACACAGAGGUAACGUACACAGAAUGUGGAAGACAUGAGCAGUACAGCUGUAACUGUUAAAGGCCAGUGGCGUUUGUCUUACCGCUGCACAGCCUCCAGGCACCACUCCAGCCACCAGGACAGGGGAGUCUCCUCUGAGCGUGAGACCCAGUCCACCCUCUCUCCUCUGCAGGCAGAUCACACGUACCGGACCCCAGCGAGCCCGUGCACAAAACACUGACAGAGGCCCCUGCAGCAUAGGGAAGAGUCAUCUUCAUCUCAAGUACCAGUAGAAGCUGCAGUUUUUUAAUUGGGUCUAUGUAAAUGUGUGUAUUUCUCUAAAUGUCAGACUGUUCUCAUAAUGAAUAUGUCUUACCAGUCUUUGGAAGAUAUCAGUAACUUGGACUGUAGAGAAGUUGGGUGGAGUGAUGUCUGGUUUCUGACGGGUUUGAGCUGACAACAGAAGAAACCACAAUCACUUACUGUCAUUUAACCAUGAAAUAAUUGUAUUGAAAGGACUUGAAACACUACGUACACUGUAUCUCUGGAGCCUCUGCGGUUUCAUCAAAGUCGUCCUCUCUGUCCAGCUCCGAGUACUUGUCCAAAGAGCGUUUGUGUGUGAGAGACAGCACGUCCUGCAGGAUGUCCAUCUUCCUCAGGAUCUUACACAGACUGUGAACACGCAUGGCCUCCUCAUGUCUGAUUACUGCACGCCGCAAGUGAGCUUUACCUGCAUACAUGGUCUCGUAAAACCUGGCUGAGUGGUGGCCCUGCAGGAACGCUGACACUGAACUGGAGGAAAGCCUUCUCUGCUUCCUCAUCACCCUCCUCCUCCUCCGCAGACACUACAGAACAAGACAUUCCAAGUUAACGUGUUAUAGCUGGUAUUUUCUUUUAGUCAGUUAAAUUCAUUCAAAACCUACCCUAAAAUUUCUAAAUGUACUUCAUCUUAUUUCUACAUGUCAGGCAUUUUUAACUAAGAGGAGGCAGGAUUUUACACUGGCCUAGGCCCCUCUUUGCAAAUAUCACCAACUGAACUGGGCAAAGUCUGAUCCAUAUUAGAAUCUGUACAAAGUGUUCCCAUCCCUCAUCAUUUAUAAUUAAUGUAAAUUGUUUAUCAUGCUUUUAAUUUUUAGGAUGGCUCUUUGUACAAGGCCUCUAUUUCUGCACAGUGUUUUUAUGCUGUACAUGUACAGUGUUUGUGUAAGUAUGUGAAUGUUUUCAUGUAUUUCUCUUACUUUACUGCAUUUUUUAAUGUGCAAAUCAAGACCAUUAAAAUUAAAACAACUAA